rnacentral:piRNA from 1 species
GAAGAUGUAAACAUAAAAAAAUAA